rnacentral:rRNA from 1 species
AAUAUUGGACAAUGGGGGCAACCCUGAUCCAGCCAUGCCGCGUGUGUGAAGAAGGUCUUCGGAUUGUAAAGCUCUGUCCUUGGGGAAGAUAAUGACGGUACCCAAGAAGAAAGCCCCGGCUAACUACGUGCCAGCAGCCGCUGUAAUACGUAGGGGGCAAGCGUUGUCCGGAAUUAUUGGGCGUAAAGGGCGUGUAGGCGGUUAAUUAAGUCCGGUGUGAAAUCUUGGGGCUCAACCCUGGGACUGCACCUGAAACUGAUUAACUUGAGGGCAAGAGAGGAAAGCGGAAUUCCUAGUGUAGCGGUGAAAUGCGUAGAUAUUAGGAGGAACACCAGUGGCGAAGGCGGCUUUCUGGCUUGACCCUGACGCUGAGGCGCGAAAGCGUGGGGAGCAAAC